GGGAGGGGCUCUACGCAGUGUUUGCCAGCACAGAUUGUCUACGGUGUUUUGAGUGUGCGGAUUUGGGACAUAAGAGCUUUGCGUGUCCACAUAAACGCCGUAGACAAGGUGAGGGUACAGGGCUAGGUCUAGUCAGACUAUGGAUGGUGGUGUAGAUGAGGCUGGGUCUAGUCAGGCUAGAGAUGGUGGGGUAGAUGAGGCUGGGUCUAGUCAGGUUAUAGAUGGUGGUGUAGAUGAGGCUGGGUCUAGUCAGGUUACGGAGGGUGGUGUAGAUGAGGCUGGGUCUAGUCAGGUUAUAGAUGGUGGUGUAGCGGAGGCUGGGUCUAGUCAGGUUAUAGAUGGUGGGGUAGAUGAGGCUGGGUCUAGUCAGGUUAUAGAUGGUGGUGUAGAGGAGGCUGGGUCUAGUCAGGUUAUAGAUGGUGGUGUAGAUGAGACUGGGUCUAGUCAGGUUAUAGAUGGUGGUGUAGAUGAGGCUGGGUCUAGUAGACUGUAGAUAGUGGGGUAGAUGAGGCUGGGUCUAGUCAGGUUAGUGAUGAUGGUGUAGAUGAGGCUGGGUCUAGUCAGGUUAUGGAUGGUGGUGUAGAUGUGGCUGGGUCUAGUCAGGUUAUAUAUGGUGGUGUAGAUGAGGCUGGGUCUAGUCAUGUUAUAGAUGGAGGUGUAGAUGAGGCUGGGUCUAGUCAGGUUAUAGAUGGUGGUGUAGAUGAGGCUGGGUCUAGUAGACUGUAGAUAGUGGGGUAGAUGAGGCUGGGUCUAGUCAGGUUAUGGAUGGUGGUGUAGAUGAGGCUGGGUCUAGUCAUGCUAUGGAGGGUGGUGUAGAUGAGGCUGGGUCUAGUCAUGUUAUGGAGGGUGGUGUAGAUGAGGCUGGGUCUAGUCAGGUUAUGGAGGGUGGUGUAGAUGAGGCUGGG
ensembl:lncRNA